AUUGAACGCUGGCGGCAUGCCUUACACAUGCAAGUCGAACGGCAGCACGGGUGCUUGCACCUGGUGGCGAGUGGCGAACGGGGGAGUAAUACAUCGGAACGUACCUUAUCGUGGGGGAUAACGCAGCGAAAGCUGUGCUAAUACCGCAUACGCCCUGAGGGGGAAAGCGGGGGAUCGCAAGACCUCGCGAGAUUAGAGCGGACGAUGCCUGAUUAGCUUGUUGGUGGGGUAAAGGCCCACCAAGGCGACGAUCAGUAGCUGGUCUGAGAGGACGAUCAGCCACACUGGGACUGAGACACGGCCCAGACUCCUACGGGAGGCAGCAGUGGGGAAUUUUGGACAAUGGGGGCAACCCUGAUCCAGCAAUGCCGCGUGAGUGAAGAAGGCCUUCGGGUUGUAAAGCUCUUUUGUCAGGGAAGAAACACCGGCUCUAACACAGUCCGGGAAUGACGGUACCUGAAGAAUAAGCACCGGCUAACUACGUGCCAGCCGCCGCAGUAA
rnacentral:rRNA from 1 species